rnacentral:rRNA from 1 species
GAUGAACGCUGACAGAAUGCUUAACACAUGCAAGUCAACUGUGGCGGACGGGUGAGUAACGCGUAAAGAACUUGCCUCACGGAUAGGGACAACAUUUGGAAACGAAUGCUAAUACCUGAUACUGUGAGAGAGCUUUGCGUCCCAUUAGCUAGUUGGGGAGGUAACGGCUCACCAAGGCGAUGAUGGGUAGCCGGACUGAGAGGGUGAUCGGCCACAAGGGGACUGAGACACGGCCAUUAAUCGUGCGGGAGGAAGCAGUGGGGAAGAUAGGACAAUGGCCCAAAGUCUGAUCCAGCCAUUCUGUGUGUAAGAUGAAGUUUUAGAAAAGAAAAGUGAUUUCAGUUGGGAAGCGGUACCAACAGAAGAAGCGACGGCUAAAUACGUGCCAGCAGCCGCGGUAAUUC